CCUACGGGGUGCAGCAGUGAGGAAUAUUGGUCAAUGGACGAGAGUCUGAACCAGCCAAGUAGCGUGAAGGAUGACUGCCCUAUGGGUUGUAAACUUCUUUUAUAUGGGAAUAAAAUGUUCCACGUGUGGGAUUUUGUAUGUACCAUAUGAAUAAGGAUCGGCUAACUCCGUGCCAGCAGCCGCGGUAAUACGGAGGAUCCGAGCGUUAUCCGGAUUUUUUGGGUUUAAAGGGAGCGUAGAUGGGUUGUUAAGUCAGUUGUGAAAGUUUGGGGCUCAACCGUAAAAUUGCAAUUGAUACUGGCAGGCUUGAGUACAGUUGGGGUAGGCGGAAUUCGUGGUGUAGCGGUGAAAUGCUUAGAUAUCACGAAGAACUCCGAUUGCGAAGGCAGCUUACUAAACUGCCACUGACAUUGAUGCUCGAAAGUGUGGGUAUCAAACAGGAUUAGAUACCCCGGUAGUC
rnacentral:rRNA from 1 species